CUCCCUUCUCCUGCCAGACUGACUUGCACCUUCUCGAUAAUUUCUCUUCCCCUCGUUUUUUUAUACUCUUCUCCCUGCUUCCGAACCCUGUGUCUGUGUGUUUUAAUACUAUCACAACCUCUGCUAAAAAUAGAUCUUUUUAUAUACCCUUCCUCCUCUUUGACCCCAUCCAACACCCCUUGUUAAGGAACUCAGACGCCUAGCGUGGCCCUCCCCAGCGUGCCCAGUGUUUGUGGACGGAGAGCACCCCGUUUUUGAAAAGGUCAAGUUUUCUUCAGAUUGAGACAGAAUUGUGGCUCAUGGACAUCUGAUGUUGUGAUAGGGCAUACUCGACAUCUUUAGAUUUCUUCCCUGAGACAACAGAUUGACUGCAAAAACUGACAGACCGCAGCGUUUUUUUUAAAUAUCCCUGGUCUUCUC